GAUGAACGCUGGCGGCGUGCCUAAUACAUGCAAGUAGAACGCUGAAGGAAGGAGCUUGCUCUUUCCGGAUGAGUUGCGAACGGGUGAGUAACGCGUAGGUAACCUGCCUGGUAGCGGGGGAUAACUAUUGGAAACGAUAGCUAAUACCGCAUAACAGUAGAUGUUGCAUGACAACUAUUUGAAAGGGGCAAUUGCUCCACUACCGGAUGGACCUGCGUUGUAUUAGCUAGUUGGUGAGGUAACGGCUCACCAAGGCGACGAUACAUAGCCGACCUGAGAGGGUGAUCGGCCACACUGGGACUGAGACACGGCCCAGACUCCUACGGGAGGCAGCAGUAGGGAAUCUUCGGCAAUGGACGGAAGUCUGACCGAGCAACGCCGCGUGAGUGAAGAAGGUUUUCGGAUCGUAAAGCUCUGUUGUAAGAGAAGAACGAGUGUGAGAGUGGAAAGUUCACACUGUGACGGUAUCUGACCAGAAAGGGACGGCUAACUACGUG
rnacentral:rRNA from 1 species